UUUAGGAAAUGGCAGCUGAGUGAAAACAGGAAAAAGCUCACGUAACAUUUGUGAUCUGUUCAGAGGUCUCCUCCUGUAGCAGUUUGAAACAGAAAAAACGGAAACUGGUCAAGCCAGCACAUGACUAAGAGAGCGCCAAACAGCAACCUUAACCACAAGGAAUGAACCAUGGCUUCUGCAGGACACAAGAAGGAACAGUAGGACAAACCUGGGUUUUAAUCCUCACUGGGUAACCUUAGGCAAGUUACUUAACCUCUCUGUUUCCCACUUUUCUUUCUCUUUUUCCUUUUCUUUUCUUUUCUUUUCUUUUUUUUUUUUUUUUGUUUUGAGACAGGAUCUCACUUUGUUACCCAGACUGGAGUGCAGUGGUAUGAUCAUGGCUCACUGCAGCUUCAACCUCCCAGGCUCAAGCCAUCCUCCCACCUCAGCCUCCCAAGUAGCCUGGAUAUUUUUUGUAGAGACAGAGUCUCCCUAUGUUGCCCUGGCUCGUCUUGAACUCCUGGGCCCAAGUGAUCCACCCGCCUCAGACUCCUAAAGUGUUGGGAUUAUAGGCACGAGUGAUGCCUGGCUACUAAUUCCCACUUGUCUGAUCUGAAAAAUGACAACAAUCAUUCCCACUUUCCAGAGUUAUUAUGAGUGUCUCCAAUGAGCCACAGACACUAAGUAGCAAGGCACACUGCCUGGCACAAAGAAGUGCCAAAAAAUGCAGUUCUCCUUCUAUUAUUUGUACUCUCUCGUCGGCCCCCCACCUGAGGUCCCAUUCUACAUAAAAUGCCAAACACAUACUUUAGAAAUACAUUAUGACUCUAUUAGACAAACUUGCUGGCCCCACCCCAGUGGCGCCCCUCCUUCUGACACACCUCUUCAUCCAUCCCCUUUAUGUCUCAUCAUUGGUUUAUCAGUGGGAUCCCAGCAUUGGACCUGUAGUGUGCUGGGCCCGUGGUAGCGACUCAGUGAUAGCUAUUACUGCUUUGUGAGUAUUACUGGUCUGCCCCUUUUCUACUCCCAAGCUAAGUGCCUCCCCACUUUUUUUGAGACAGAGUCUUACUCUGUCACCCAAACUGGAGUGCAAUGGCAUGAUCUCGGCUCACAGCAACCUCUGCCUCCCAGGUUCAAGUGAUUCUCAUGCCUCAGCCUCCCAAGUAGCUGGGAUUACAGGCAUGUGCCACCACACCUGGCUAUUUUUUGUAUUUUUAGUAGAGACGGUGUUUUGCCAUGUUGGCCAGGCUGGUCUCCAACUCCUAGGCUCAAGUGAUCUGCCUGCCUGGGCCUCCCGAAGUACUGGGAUUACAGGCAUGAGCCACCGCACUUAGGCCUUUUCAUACUCACCAUGGAUAAGGAAAUGGGAACCACCGUUCAGGGAAGCAGCGCCACCACUUGGUGAAAAACCCUUCAGUGAAGCCUUCUGUCACCUCGGGGUACUGGCACAAAAAAUGCUGAAUCUCCUCAGAUGACAAGGGCUGUCCCGUCUUGGCAAGGCAGGAAACAAAGCAAAACAAAACAACACAGAGUUACUUAUCAGAAAUUUCCUAGCGCUUGACCUAGCCUUUAAGCGAGCAGUCAGUCAGUGGGAGACUCAGGCUUCUUGCUCACCUUGAUCACCAGUGGAUGGAGCCUCUCAAAUUUCCUUGGGGCGUCUUCCAGGAGCAUCACCUUCAGAGGUUCCUGGGCACAGCCAGUACAGUUGGCAGGAAUGGGCUCUGACUCAUUCUGCUCACAGUCCUUUGUCCACCAGGGGUCAACGUCUGA